CGAUAAUAAUAGUUAUCGGAUGGCAACGCCGAAUUUUUUUAUUUAACCAGGUGGCAAAUGAUUAGCCCUUGGAGUUCUUAAAUUUGUUUCUAUUUGUUUUGGUCUUUAGAGAUUUUAAAAGACUUUAAAAGAUGAGCAAUACAGAGACAGUUGUGGAUUUGUUUGCGCCAGAAACCAUCCUGAAAACUGACGAAGAUGUGGCAGAUGCUACAGCAGUCAGCAGGAGAAGAUUAUCCACGGAUGAGAAGAAGUCGGAUGACAAGAAGGAGCCGGAAACGCCAGAUGAUGAGCUCAUCUCUUUAGAAACUCUACGUGCCUCACCUGUCCAGUGGCCGGAGCGAUUUCCUGGAAUGGACGAGUUCCUCACCAUGAGCGAGACGCCCAUCUAUACGCGCACCACGGACAUUGCCAGUAACCUGACCAACGAAGACAUGAUCAAGAUCCACCAACUAGCUCAGCUUACUCCUGGACAAUUAGUCGAGAAGAUAAAAUCAAUGCAUGAUGAGAUCUAUCAGCUGGGACUCCGCGAGGCGAAGGAGAUGACCCGUGGGAAGCUGUUAGGGAUAUUCGAUCGAGACCGCAUACCGAAGCGGCAACCAUGAGAUAGGAUGAUUCGGUCCUUGUAAAUGGGACUUCUGAGGAUCUCGUCGAAGUCGAAUUAAGAAUUUAGCAGUAGUUGUAUUUGUACAUAAAUAUAGAUUUUUAUACAUUUUGGGUCCUACGUCGACAGUACAACGAUUGUAUUGCAGAGACUUAUAAGGAGUCGGAGAAGAGAUGACGUCGAGGAAUGUGAGUGGAACUGUUGAAGGGAAGGAGAAGGACUAGGAGUGGUGGAGAAGGCACAGUAUAUUCCGCUAGGCAGGGAUUUCAACACAACAAAUAACUGUCUAUGUGAGAUUGGAUGGAUCGGUUUGAUUCGUUAUAACAAGUGUUAAAAGGGAACUAUAUUUCACACUUAACGCCCUGUUAUAUCUGAUAUUAAAUGCACUCUGAAAUGUCUA